rnacentral:tRNA from 1 species
GGCCCAAUGGUCUAGAGGUAUGAUUCGCCCUUCGGGUUUAACCACCCUUCAGCAUAGCUUGAAUGGGCGAGGCCCCGCGUUCGAAUCGCGGUUGGGCCC